rnacentral:rRNA from 1 species
ACAGCAGCAGCCGCGGGAAUACGAAGGGUGCAAGCGUUAAUCGGAAUUACUGGGCGUAAAGCGUGCGUAGGCGGUGAGUUAAGUCUGCUGUGAAAUCCCCGGGCUCAACCUGGGAAUGGCAGUGGAUACUGGCUCGCUAGAGUGUGUCAGAGGAUGGUGGAAUUCCCGGUGUAGCGGUGAAAUGCGUAGAGAUCGGGAGGAACAUCAGUGGCGGAGGCGGCCAUCUGGGACAACACUGACGCUGAGGCACGAAAGCGUGGGGAGCAAACAGGAUUAGAUACCCCCGUAGUCCCUGUCUCUUAUAC